UUUCUUUGGCAGUGUCUUAGCUGGUUGUUGUGAGUAAUAGCAAAGGAAGCAAUCAGCAGCAUCCUGCCCUAGAACA
rnacentral:pre_miRNA from 1 species